rnacentral:rRNA from 1 species
AUUGAACGCUGGCGGCAUGCCUUACACAUGCAAGUCGAACGGCAGCACGGGUGCUUGCACCUGGUGGCGAGUGGCGGACGGGUGAGUAAUGCAUCGGAACGUGUCCUAAAGUGGGGGAUAACGCAUCGAAAGAUGUGCUAAUACCGCAUAUUCUCUGAGGAGGAAAGUAGGGGAUCGAAAGACCUUAUGCUUUUGGAGCGGCCGAUGUCUGAUUAGCUAGUUGGUAGGGUAAUGGCUUACCAAGGCGACGAUCAGUAGUUGGUCUGAGAGGACGACCAGCCACACUGGGACUGAGACACGGCCCAGACUCCUACGGGAGGCAGCAGUGGGGGAAUUUUGGACAAUGGGCGCAAGCCUGAUCCAGCAAUGCCGCGUGAGUGAAGAAGGCCUUAGGGUUGUAAAGCUCUUUCAGCUGGGAAGAUAAUGACGGUACCAGCAGAAGAAGCCCCGGCUAACUCCGUGCCAGCAGCCGCGGUAAUGU